GAUGAAGAACGUAGCGAAAUGCGAUACGUAGUGUGAAUUGCAGAAUUCCGUGAAUCAUCGAAUCUUUGAACGCAUAUUGCGCUCGAGGCUUCGGCCGAGAGCAUGUCUGCCUCAGCGUCGGGUUAAUAUCACUCUCCCUUUACCCUGUGUAAUCGUGCAGAGUGGACCUGGCUGUUCCAGCUGUUAUAGUAACUAAUCAGCCUUUAACACGGCUGGGCGUUUACUAUAGCUAAGCGGCUGGAUCGGCUGAAGUGUAGAGGAUACCCGUGGACCCGCAAAGGGCCGCAACUGGGUAGGCUUUCAUUAGCUAAUCAUACUUUAGUUGUUGGUCUGGAUCCUAGCUGUUCAUCCCACAACCAGGAACCUUACCCCUUAUUUUCUCGACCUGAGCUCAGGCAAGGUUACCCGCUGAACUUAAGCAUAUCCAAUAAGCGGAGGA
rnacentral:misc_RNA from 1 species